UGAGACCCUGGUUCCCAUACAAUCACUGAAGUUAAGCAACAUCAAGCCUGGUUAGUACCUAGAUGAGUGACCACUUGAGAAUACCAAGUGUUGUAA